rnacentral:rRNA from 1 species
UACGUAGGGGGGCAAGCGUUGUCCGGAUUUAUUGGGCGUAAAGAGCGUGUAGGCGGCUUUACAGGUCCGUUGUGAAAACUCGAGGCUCAACCUCGAGACGCCGGUGGAAACCGUAAAGCUAGAGUCCGGAAGAGGAGAGUGGAAUUCCAGGUGUAGCGGUGAAAUGCGUAGAUAUCAUGAGGAAGACCAGUGGCGAAGGCGGGUCUCUGGACAGUUCCUGACACUGAGACACGAAGGCCAGGGGAGCAAACGGG